rnacentral:lncRNA from 10 species
GGAGGCUGGCGGAGCUCGGCUCCCGACGCGCAGCGCAGCAGCAGCUUGGGGCCGCCGAAGCAGUAGCACUGGAAGGGGCAGGGUGCCGCGGGCUGGCUCAGCGCCGCCGCCACGAGCAGCAGCCCCUGGAGCCCCGGCUGUCCCGCGCGCGGGGCCAUCGCGGCCGCCCCCGCAUCCAGCGCCCGGGCCGCCGCGCUCACCAAUCAUAAAAGGCACAUGGAAUCAAAGCUUUUGGUCAACUGCCAACAAGGUACAGAGGCCCAACAGCAAUCAUCGAAUGAACUUGGAAGUGGAUCCUCUCACCCCAGUUGAGCCUUCUGAUGACUGCAGCCCUGGCUGAUGCUUGACUACAACUUCAUCAGAAAUCCUCAUGAAGAUCCAGCACCUUCCAGUUAGCCCAUCUAUGAGAAAACCAAUGCUCCGAUGAGUGCAGUGACUUCCCAUGCCUGUGGAGAGUCUAUGCCUUUGAUUGGAUCCCCAGAGGUGGUUUUCACUUGCCCCCCAUUGCCUAUACCAUGUUGCCUUCCUG